rnacentral:rRNA from 1 species
UGGUGUCGAUGCGCCGGGGGGAAACACCCGUACCCAUCCCGAACACGACGGUUAAGCCCCGGGCGGCUGAAAAUACUACGCUGGCAACGGCGUGGGAAGAUAAGGUUGGAACCGAAGGU